GUCGUGAGAUGUUGGGUUAAGUCCCGCAACGAGCGCAACCCCCGUCGCAUGUUGCCAGCAUUUAGUUGGGGACUCAUGCGAGACUGCCGGUGACAAACCGGAGGAAGGUGGGGAUGACGUCAAGUCAUCAUGCCCCUUAUGUUCAGGGCUACACACGUGCUACAUUGGCGCAUACAGAGGGCUGCGAUACCGCGAGGUGGAGCGAAUCCCUCAAAGUGCGUCUCGGUUCGGAUUGCAGGCUGAAACCCGCCUGCAUGAAGGUGGAGUUGCUAGUAAUCGCGGAUCAGCAUUGCCGCGGUGAAUACGUUCCCGGGCCUUGUACACACCGCCCGUCACACCACGGGAGUGAGCAACACCCGAGGCCGGUGGCCUAACCCGCAAGGGAGGGAGCCGUCGAAGGUGGGGCUCGUGACUGGGGUGAAGUCGUAACAAGGUAGCCGUAGCGGAAGCUGCGGCUGGAUCACCUCCUUUCUAGGGAGUCCCUUCAAUGGGACCCGUACGGCACGGCGCCAUGGCCGGCCGCUCACCUCUUGCCCUCGGGCAUCCGUGAGCGGAAGCGAGCUCUUGGCUACCGACCGCACGGCCUAGUACGUCGACCGAACCUGACCGGACCAGCCGGCGCUCACCAACGUGAGUGCCCACCGAGCCUCGUUGCACGGUGCCACAUAUCGUGGAGUUCGAAGUCCGCAUGCUGUUGAGUUUUGAGAGACCGGUUUCAGCGAAUCCCGCUGACGCCCUCUCGGCGGCCCUUGAAAACUGCACAGUAGCCACAUGACCAGUCCGAUCCAACGCGGGCUGGUCAAUGCGUCCGGCAUUCGAUAAGCGCCGGGCGCACGGGUAAUACCGAGCCGGAUCCCCGCAAGGGAUCCGGUAUCAACUGGGCCCGUAAGGGUCCGGUUAUCUCGAGAAUCACCGUCAAGAUAGUAAGGGCACACGGUGGAUGCCUUGGCACCUAGAGCCGAUGAAGGACGUGAACGACUGCGAUAAGCCACGGUGAGGCGUUGAAUAGCCUUUGACCCGUGGAUUU
rnacentral:sRNA from 1 species